AAUAGAUACCCAGGUAGUCCACGCCGUAAACGGUGGGCGCUAGGUGUGGGGGACUUUCCACGUCCUCUGUGCCGCAGCUAACGCAUUAAGCGCCCCGCCUGGGGAGUACGGCCGCAAGGCUAAAACUCAAAGGAAUUGACGGGGACCCGCACAAGCGGCGGAGCAUGUGGCUUAAUUCGACGCAACGCGAAGAACCUUACCAAGGCUUGACAUGCAGGGAAAUCUCGUAGAGAUACGGGGUCCGCAAGGGCUCUGCACAGGUGGUGCAUGGUUGUCGUCAGCUCGUGUCGUGAGAUGUUGGGUUAAGUCCCGCAACGAGCGCAACCCUUGUCCUAUGUUGCCAGCGAGUAAUGUCGGGGACUCAUAGGAGACUGCCGGGGUCAACUCGGAGGAAGGUGGGGAUGACGUCAAAUCAUCAUGCCCCUUAUGUCUUGGGCUGCACACAUGCUACAAUGGUCGGUACAAAGGGCUGCGAGACCGCAAGGUGGAGCGAAUCCCAAAAAGCCGGCCUCAGUUCGGAUUGGGGU
rnacentral:rRNA from 1 species